rnacentral:rRNA from 1 species
UGGUGUAUUUGUUGGCUGUCUCAUGCAGUCGAGCGGAAACGAGUUAACUGACCCUUCGGGUGACGUUAACGGCGUCGAGCGGCGGACGGGUGAGUAAUGCCUGGGAAUAUGCCUUGAUGUGGGGGAUAACCAUUGGAAACGAUGGCUAAUACCGCAUAAUGCCUUCGGGCCAAAGAGGGGGAUCUUCGGACCUCUCGCGUCAAGAUUAGCCCAGGUGGGAUUAGCUAGUUGGUGAGGUAAUGGCUCACCAAGGCGACGAUCCCUAGCUGGUCUGAGAGGAUGAUCAGCCACACUGGAACUGAGACACGGUCCAGACUCCUACGGGAGGCAGCAGUGGGGAAUAUUGCACAAUGGGCGCAAGCCUGAUGCAGCCAUGCCGCGUGUGUGAAGAAGGCCUUCGGGUUGUAAAGCACUUUCAGUCGUGAGGAAGGUGGUGUAGUUAAUAGCUGCAUCAUUUGACGUUAGCGACAGAAGAAGCACCGGCUAACUCCGUGCCAGCAGCCGCGGUAAUACGGAGGGUGCGAGCGUUAAUCGGAAUUACUGGGCGUAAAGCGCAUGCAGGUGGUUAGUUAAGUCAGAUGUGAAAGCCCGGGGCUCAACCUCGGAACUGCAUUUGAAACUGGCUGACUAGAGUACUGUAGAGGGGGGUA